CCUACGGGUGGCAGCAGUGGGGAAUAUUGGGCAAUGGACGCAAGUCUGACCCAGCAACGCCGCGUGAAGGAAGAAGGCUUUCGGGUUGUAAACUUCGUGUAAGGGGGAAGAGGAGAAGACGGGACACCUGGAAUAAGCCACGGCUAACUACGUGCCAGCAGCCGCGGUAAUACGGAGGUGGCAAGCGUUGUCCGGAUUUACUGGGUGUAAAGGGCGUGCAGCCGGGCCGACAAGUCAGAUGUGAAAUCCGCGGGCUUAACCCGCGAACUGCAUUUGAAACUCUCGGUCUUGAGUGCCGGAGCGGUAAUCGGCCUUCCUUUUGUAGCGGUGCACUGCGUAGCUAUCAGGAAGAACCCCAGUGGCGAAGGCGGCUUACUGGACGGUACCUGACGGUGAGGCGCG
rnacentral:rRNA from 1 species